rnacentral:rRNA from 1 species
UUCCAGAGAUGGAUUGGUGCCUUCGGGAACUCUGAGACAGGUGCUGCAUGGCUGUCGUCAGCUCGUGUUGUGAAAUGUUGGGUUAAGUCCCGCAACGAGCGCAACCCUUAUCCUUGUUUGCCAGCACAUAAUGGUGGGAACUCCAGGGAGACUGCCGGUGAUAAACCGGAGGAAGGUGGGGACGACGUCAAGUCAUCAUGGCCCUUACGAGUAGGGCUACACACGUGCUACAAUGGCGUAUACAGAGGGCUGCCAACUAGCGAUAGUGAGCGAAUCCCAGAAAGUACGUCGUAGUCCGGAUUGGAGUCUGCAACUCGACUCCAUGAAGUCGGAAUCGCUAGUAAUCGUGAAUCAGAAUGUCACGGUGAAUACGUUCCCGGGCCUUGUACACACCGCCCGUCACACCAUGGGAGUGGGCUGCACCAGAAGUAGAUAGCUUAACCUUCGGGAGGGCGUUUACCACGGUGUGGUUCAUGACUGGGGUGAAGUCGUAACAAGGUAGCCCUAGGGGAACCUGGGGCUGGAUCACCUCCUUACCUAAAGA